rnacentral:rRNA from 1 species
AUUGAACGCUGGCGGCAGGCCUAACACAUGCAAGUCGAACGAGUGGCGGACGGGUGAGUAAUGUCUGGGAAACUGCCUGAUGGAGGGGGAUAACUACUGGAAACGGUAGCUAAUACCGCAUACCAUCGGAUGUGCCCAGAUGGGCUUAGCUAGUAGGUGGGGUAACGGCUAACCUAGGCCACUAGCCCUAGCUGGUCUGAGAGGAUGACCAGCCACACGGGAACUGAGACACGGUCCAGACUCCUACGGGAGGCAGCAGUGGGGAAUAUUGUACAAUGGGCGCAAGCCUGAUGGAGCCAGGCCGCGUGUAUGAAGAAGGCCUUCGGGUUGUAAAGUACUUUCAGCGGGGAGGCGUUACCCGAAGAAGAAGCACCGGCUAACUACGUGCCAGCAGCCGCGGUAAUUC